AGCCAAGUUUCGCCAUGUCGUCAUCAAAGCUAAAGUCAUUGGCAAUACUGCAAAAAGAAAUGUAUUCAUAAAAACUCUGAAGAUGCGUGCAGAAAGCAGAGAAACAAAGAGCCACAAUGCUCACCUGGGUAAACAAAUGUGACCAGCGAACUCCUCCCAUAAUUUUUAAGUAGGGAUAGUGCUGGGGUACGGUGUAAAUACUAAGCUACUAGUGGUCAUUUGUCGGAACGGUCCAGGACCUGCAUUCUGAAAACCAGUGGGGCCGAAGACGUAAUAGGUGCGAGCGUGGAGUGACAGAGGGGACACGGCAGCUCGUCAUGUUUAAACGGGAGUGUCACUUUGAAAGAAUUGAAUGAAGUAAAUGGAGUUACAUUGUCGGAUAGAAGUCGAGUAAAAGACGAGAUCAGCCGUGGUAUCCGACGAUGCUGGGGUUAUGGACAACAUCCUUAUUAAAUAUUCAUGAAAAAGCAUCUAACCGAUUAAACAUACUGUGCAUGCUAAAAAAUUCACUUAAUCGUAAAUCCUUCAUUAAAAUGUACUUCUCUUUUAUUCGUCCUGUACUAGAAUAUGCUAAUGUAGUAUGGGACAACUGUACACUGAGAGUAUCAAAUUUAUUGGAAGAUGUACAGGUCUCAGCAGCACGCAUCAUUACUGGACUGAGAAUUAACUCUUCCAGAACAGCACUCUAUCAUGAAUUGGGUUGGGACACCUUAGCAUGUCGUAGAAAAAUCCAUAAACUCAUUUUAUUUUAUAAAAUAGUACAUGGCAUUGCUCCCCAAUAUCUACAAGAUCUAUUGCUUUCAAAUAUACCACCUCAACAUUCAUACACCUUAAGAAACAAUGGUGAUAAUCUCAAAUUUAUUCUUCCAAAAGUUAAGACCACAUCAUACAUGAAUAGUUUUCUACCCUCCGCAAUCAGGUUAUGAAAUGAUCUGCCAAUACACAUUAGAAACAUUCCCUCACUUGCAUCAUUUAACAAUGCCAUAAAUAAAGUCUACUGCUUACAACCCAAUAAACUUUUUAAUAUCGGUAAACGUAAAAGUAACAUUGUGCACUGUCAACUUAGAAACAAUGCAAGUAAUUUAAAUGCAGAUCUUAAAUCUCACUUCUCGCGAGAUAGUGCUGCUUGUGAUAGGUGUGGCCACCAUACUGAAGAUUCUUUUCAUUUCUUCUUCAAAUGUCCUGAGUUUGCUAACCAUAGAACUAAACUAAUCUCGUCUAUAAAUGAAAUGCAACUUUCUGUUCCUUUAACACUGAAUUUACUUUUAUAUGUUUAAUCUUUAAAUACAAUGAAAAGAUUUUUGAAUUUGUUCAAAAGUAUAUCUUGGAAACUAAUAGGUUCUUUUAAGUAUCUCAUAUUUUGUCUAUUAUACAAUUUUCUAUUUUUGGUAUUUAGUUGUUUUUUCCCCUUUUACCGGUACUGCCCCCCCCCCCUCCUUCUCUUUUUUUUCUAUUACCUUUUGUUAGUUUUCUCUUUCAAUUUGUAUAAAUAUUUUUCAGUUCUCAUUUUAUUUGUGUGUGUUUUUUUUUUGUUUUUUUGUUUUUUUGUUUUUUUUUUCAAUUUUUUCAUUUCGUUUACUCAUUCUAUAUGUGUGUAUAUGUAUGUGUGCAUAUAUCGAAACUUUUCUUAGUCUAUCUGUUGUUAUUUAUAUAUAUGUGCACAUUCAUGUGAUUGUUCUCUGGUGUAUAUGUUAUUUAUUUGUAUAGGUGUGUGCCUUGUAUUUCCAUUUCACACUUGACCUUGUUGUAGGGAGAGGGCUUAAAUAGGCUAUGCCUGCUGCCCGAUCCCAUUCACUUUGUGAAUAAAAUAUAGUUUAAAUAAACAUCCUUUAAAAUGAACGCAUAAAUUGAUGACGCCAAACAUGCAUAUAUAUUACCAUAGGAUUUCAUUGUUUUGAUAUAAUCCAUAUUAUAAAACAAUCAUAAUGUCAUGAACAAAUUGAUUUUCAUCAUAAUCCAUUGUAAAAGGGUAUUGGAAAGAGUGGCGGACCCAGAAAAAGGGGGGGGGGUGGUUACC